UGUCUUUCAAAAUUAAGCAGUGAGGUCUUUCUAGGGACACACUUCAUUUUGAAGGUUGCAUUCCAGAACAAUUCAUUAUUGUUAUAAGCAUGACUUCAGCAGAUUGACUGACCCAUCUGAGAGGGAGCAGGGCAGGCAUAAUGGCCAGGAGACAUUGCUCAAAAGGUGGUCAGCUUUUUAAAAACUUCCACAGGGUUUCAUUAGAGGAGGGAAUGGGACCUGGGCCCCACACCAUCCAGAAAUAUCAGGCUCUAGAGCCUAUUGAGCCAAACCCCAAAUCUUAGAUUUAUUCCAAAAAUAUUCAAAUGGGGCUUAAAGCUGACACAGGAGAGCCAUGGUCCAGUGAAAAGUGUUGGGGUGUAUGUGUACAAAGCGUCUGAGUCUCCAGAAGUAGGCAGCAGGCAGAGGAGAUGACGAGUGAGGUCCACCUUGAAAUAUGGCAGGAGACCAUCCCAUUAACAAGAAAAACAGGCAUCCCGUAAGAGGGAGUGAGCAGAAGUGCUGCUGCUCAGAGAUACCACACAGCCCAGCCAGAUGUGCACUGUGCUUCAACUGCACGGUGAGAAUAGGGGACGGUGUUGGUAUAAGGUAGAGUUUAGCUAUUCCAAGGAAGCAUCCUCCCAGACUGGCCUAGAGCCACCAGCCAGGGCAUGUGAGAGUGUAGGUUCCAGAAGAGAGACCCAUAUGCAGGGUAUAAGAGAUGGUGGGCAAGGGCCUGGACUCUGGAGCAGACUGUUCAUGUUCUCAUUCUGGCUCUGCCCCUUUCUAACUCUGUGACCUUAGGCAUGUGGCUCACUCAUCUGUGAAAUAGGAAUAGUCACAGUAUCUAUCUUAGAGUCAUCGUGAGGAUUAAAGGAGUUAAUUAUUUGUAAGGUGUUUUGCACGCAUCUGGCAAAGAGUAAGUAUUACUUAAGCACUUGGUAAACAAAAUAGUGGCUGAGGCAAUUAAGUAUUGGGUCUUCACCAAGAACACCUGCUCUGCAUUCAGACUUGAAGGAGCCGAGUUUUUAGCCAAAAAAGACACACAAAGGAUAGUCUGUGACUAUAGACUCUUAAGCUAACAACCUGCUCUAAGGAAGAACUCCAGGCUUGACUCCAGUAUUAACUGUGCCGAGUGUCAGAGGGUUCCUCCUAAAGGUGGCGCCUGGUCCCCUGCAGAAACAGAAAAAGUCCUUGCUUUAGUGGACAGUUGAGAAUAAAGGCAGCAGCUGAUGAGUCGGAGGCACAGCCAGGAGCAGGGAUGCUCCUCCUCUGGGGCUCUGGUUAUCCUUGGCCUCUCUGACAAGCCAUCUUUCCUUUUUAUAGGUUCUUCAAAAAGAAAUGCAAGGUUAUUAAGAACACUUUUUAAUUCGCAAAGCCCUGAUAGUCUUGGGUAACUCUGUCAUAACUACUGAGUUAUGCAUCCUGAUUGUAUAUAAAAUAAAGUAUGUAUAUAUGAACAAAUGAAAAAUGAACUACAAUAUUCCCUGUAAUUGCAGCUACAAUCACCUAAAUGGAUCAUUAAAAACUUUAUAGGAACAUACUAGAUUGUACUUUGUCUCCAGUUUAAACUUGUGUGGCCCAAGGGUCAUCCAACCCCAUUCACACAAAUAGACAAGCUCAUGCUGGAUGAUUCGCUGGCUAAAUUCUGUGGGAUUUAUACUACAAACUGUUGUCUUCUACUGAAAAUAACUAAAAAGAGCAUUCUGCUAAUUCCAUCAUAGUGAAAUAAACACAAGAUGGAAACAUGGUGCAGCACAGAAUGCUGACUUUUAAAUUCAGCCAUCCUGAUCCAUAAUAUGUCAGAAUCAGAGUUUAUUAAAAAUUAAUUACUGCCGUUAACUAUUUCAUGAUAAAAUGUUGAACGUUCCCAAUUUAGACACUAUACUUCUCUUCAAAAUGCAAAUCAAUUUUAAUGCUUCAGUAUAUGUUCCCCGGACACCACCAUUCUUACCCAAACGUACCUUUACCUAUAAAGGUAACAAACGAGAAAACCCAGAUGAAAUGUAAC
rnacentral:lncRNA from 1 species